rnacentral:rRNA from 1 species
CCUACGGGGGGCAGCAGUGGGGAAUAUUGGACAAUGGGGGCAACCCUGAUCCAGCCAUGCCGCGUGUGUGAAGAAGGCCCUCGGGUUGUAAAGCACUUUCAGUGAGGAAGAACGCCUGGUGGUUAAUACCCAUCAGGAAAGACAUCACUCACAGAAGAAGCACCGGCUAACUCCGUGCCAGCAGCCGCGGUAAUACGGAGGGUGCGAGCGUUAAUCGGAAUUACUGGGCGUAAAGCGCGCGUAGGUGGCUUGAUAAGCCGGUUGUGAAAGCCCCGGGCUCAACCUGGGAACGGCAUCCGGAACUGUCGAGCUAGAGUGCACGAGAGGAAGGUAGAAUUCCCGGUGUAGCGGUGAAAUGCGGAGAGAUCGGGAGGAAUACCAGUGGCGAAGGCGGCCUUCUGGACUGACACUGACACUGAGGUGCGAAAGCGUGGGUAGCAAACAGGAUUAGAUACCCGUGUAGUC